rnacentral:lncRNA from 1 species
ACAGGGAACUCAAAAUUGGGAGAUGGUGUUGGAUCAUUAUGUUCAAUGGGUCUAGAAAUCAACCUGCAUAAUGAUUUUGGAUAUGAAAAGCUUUAGAAUUCAAACAAGGAACAUCAUUAUGCAGAUGAAAAGGUUGAUUUUAUUCUUUUUUAGGGUUUUAUGUGAUCACCAAUUUCAUGCAAAAAGCAAAAAGGGAAAAUAAUUUGGAAAAACAAACAUUUAACAUGAAUUUAUUGAAUGAAAAUAUC